UACAGAGGUCUCAAGCGUUGUUCGGAUUCAUUGGGCGUAAAGGGUGCGUAGGCGGCGCGGUAAGUCGGGUGUGAAAUCUCCGAGCUUAACUCGGAACUGUCAGCUGAUACUGAUGUGCUAGAGUGCGGAAGGGGCAAUCGGAAUUCUUGGUGUAGCGGUGAAAUGCGUAGAUAUCAAGAGGAACACCUGAGGUGAAGACGGGUUGCUGGGCCGACACGUGACGCUGAGUGCGCGAAA
rnacentral:rRNA from 1 species